rnacentral:rRNA from 1 species
UACGGGGGGAGCAAGCGUUGUUCGGAUUUACUGGGCGUAAAGGGCGCGUAGGCGGUCGUGACAAGUCACUUGUGAAAUCUCCACGCUUAACGUGGAGGGGCCAUUCGAAACUGCCGUGACUCGAGUCCGGUAGGGGAGUGCGGAAUUCCCGGUGUAGCGGUGAAAUGCGCAGAUAUCGGGAGGAACACCAGUGGCGAAGGCGGCACUCUGGGCCGGAACUGACGCUGAGGAGCGAAAGCGUGGGGAGCGAACAGG